rnacentral:rRNA from 1 species
AUUGAACGCUGGCGGAAUGCUUUACACAUGCAAGUCGAGCGGCAGCGCGGGGGCAACCCUGGCGGCGAGCGGCGAACGGGUGAGUAAUAUAUCGGAACGUACCCGUCGUGGGGAGUAACACAGCGAAAGCUGUGCUAAUACCGCAUACGACCUGAGGGUGAAAGCGGGGAGUCGCAAGACCUCGCGCGAUGGGAGCGGCCGAUAUCGGAUUAGCUUGUUGGUGAGGUAAAGGCUCACCAAGGCGAUGAUCGGUAGCUGGUCUGAGAGGAUGAUCAGCCACACUGGGACUGAGACACGGCCCAGACUCCUACGGGAGGCAGCAGUGGGGAAUUUUGGAC